UACGGGGGGAGCAAGCGUUGUUCGGAUUUACUGGGCGUAAAGGGCGCGUAGGCGGUCAGCACAAGUCAGUUGUGAAAUCUCCGAGCUUAACUCGGAAAGGUCAACUGAUACUGUGCGACUAGAGUGCGGAAGGGGCAACUGGAAUUCUUGGUGUAGCGGUGAAAUGCGUAGAUAUCAGGAGGAACACCGGUGGCGAAGGCGGGUCUCUGGGCCGAUACUGACGCUGAGGAGCGAAAGCGUGGGGAGCGAACAGG
rnacentral:rRNA from 1 species